rnacentral:lncRNA from 1 species
GUUUGUUGUCCAACUUUUGAUUUUCAUUUUCUUUAAUUGCACAAUUGUUGCUUAAUAUAUAUAUAUAUAUAUAUAUAUAUAUAUAUAUAUGGGACGUGGGUAGCGCUGUGGGUUAAACCACAGAGCCUAGGACUUGCCAAUCAGAAGGUCGGCAGUUCGAAUCCCCGCGACGGGGUGAGCUCCCAUUGCUCGGUCCCUGCUCCUGCCAACCUAGCAGUUCGAAAGCAUGUCAAAGUGCAAGUAGAUAAAUAGGUACCGCUCCAGUGGGAAGGUAAAUGGCGUUUUCGUGUGCUGCUCUGGUUCGCCAGAAGCGGCUUAGUCAUGCUGGCCACAUGACCUGAAAGCUGUACACCGGCUCCCUCGGCCAAUAAAGCGAGAUGAGCGCCGCAACCCCAGAGUCGGUCAUGACUGGACCUAAUGGUCAGGGGUCCCUUUACCUUUAUAUAUAUAUAUAUAUAUAUAUAUGGACCUAAUGGUCAGGGGUAACUUUACCUAUAUACAUAUAUACAUAUAUACAUAUAUAUAUAUAUAUAUAUAUGAAUGUGACUUCUGACUUCUGCUAAAUAUCUGCUAAAUGUGCAGCACUAAAAAAGUGGCUUCUGCGAAAUAAAGCAUUUCCCCACUGAACUGACCUUCCCAAGCCCUCGGCGCCUCCUUAUCAAACUUGCAGGACCCAGACAGGCUGCAAUCCUGCUUCCCUUCAUUUCCCCGCCACCCCCGCCUUCCUCGUGGUCUUUCUGAUCAAGCCAGGCGCUCUCCCGGCCUCCUUCCAUUGUUAUCCCUCCCGCCUCCCCCCCACCCCGGCUCCUCGUCGCAAUCGCAUCACGUGACGCCGCCCUCCGCGGCUCUUCCUCCUCCUCUCGCUGGCGAUCACGUGUCUGCGAGCUCUUCGCUCCCGCCCCGAAGCCGCCUCGGCUGCUGCUUCUUAUUCAUUCGUCGGCGCGUCUUAGCGACGGCAGCGCACAAUUUCGGGCUACUGCUGCCGCCGCCGGUCUCGUUGCGGGAAACGGCGCCCAGUUUUCAACAAACAUUUGAAGUUUUGACUGAUCCGCUUUGGGUUGUUGCCUGCUAAAUCCUAUCAACGAGGUUGUGUGUACAAAACAAGCUCCCUUUACUCCUGGAUAGACUUCACAUGCAGUUUGCAAGAUGACGCCAAAGCAUGAAAAACAGGUAAGUGCUUCAAUUUGUGUGUGUGUUGCUUUUUUAGUUUGGAAGGGGGUGUUUUCCCUAGAAAUAUGGAACUUUGUUUUAUACUACUAAAAGCAGAAAUGUUCUGCAAAAUGUUUCUGCGUUGAUCAGCCACUAUUCAGCGAACAGCUUGCAAGUUGGGUGUGACUAUAUCACCAACCAGCACUGAGUAAACAGGGCAGCUUAUAUCUGGGGUAGCAUCUUAGGAGACAAAGUAGGUUGUGUAAUUGCUGCAAUGAAGAGAUGG